AGAAAGUAGAGAGAAAGAGGGAGAGCACAGUAAGAGAAAGAAAGCGAGAUUGUGGAAGAAAGAGCUAGAGAUUUGAACCAUGGAACCUAAGAUGCACGAGAAUGAGAGCGUUGAUGAGGCGGUGGCUCGAAGUCGAAAUAGAGAUGGGGCGGAUAAACACGGUGGCGGCUCAAGGUCCUUCUAUUUCCGGCAAAGAUGAUGAAUGUGGAGAAGCUAAUGAAAAUGGUGGGUGAUGUUCGCCCCGUUGCAACAAUGGUGGAUUUCAGCGGCUUGAGAAACUAUAGGAUAACAACUAACUCCUGUGUUAGCGAAAAAUAUGAACCUACUGUUAGCUUUGAGGGUAUGUGAGAAUGGGGCACAGGUGCCUUUUUUUCUGCUUUGAGUUGGCUGGGUUAGAAUAAUAUGGAUUGGGCAAAUGGAUACUAGAGUUGGUUGUAAUGUUAUAUUGUUACACGUAUAAUUAUUUUGUUGAGUUGAAUAGUUGAUUCACAAAGUA